GGUUGUGGCUCAGUGGUAGAGUGCUUGCCUAGCAUGUGUGAGGCCCUGGGUUCGAUCCUCAGCACCA
rnacentral:tRNA from 1 species